ACCGUUUUCACGAAGUGGUCUCGUGGCCAAAAUCGUUGAAAUUUUCAAUUUCGAGUUUUGACCGUUUUUGAGCAAUGUAUAUAAAUGUCUACAACUUCAGUAAUUUUCAAAGUCUAAUCUUGCUUAAUUACGUCAUACGUGACGUCACGAAACGUAUCACAAGCGGUACAACUGGCAAACACCGUUUUCACGAAGUGCGCUCUUACGCGCAAAUGUAGUCUGCUAUUGAUAAUCGUACACGAACCGGCUUCGCGAAGCCUUUGUGAAGUUUGUCACAGAUGCCGGUGCUUCUGGCGGAAUUGUUAGAGGAAUCUGACAGCCCUAGAAUAGCCGGCUGAGAGGACCAUCACUAGCACUCCCAGUGGCUGAUGUCUAAGUAGGAGUUUGACGUGGAGAGCUUUUAGCAUGUUGUUGAGUUUACCAGUAGAAUAGACAGCUGGGAUACGCAAGAGAUGAGGGACCACUAGCACCCCCAGUGGUUGAUGUCCAUGUAGGAGUUUGUGCAGCUGAUGUGGAGAGCUUAAUUGACAAGCAUCUUCGCCCUCUGCCCUUGAACUGAUUACGUUUCCAAUACCACGGUUUGACAGACCGACCGACUGAAUAGCUAAGUCCCCUCAGUCAUCAAAGGAUGGACAAAAAUACAGAAGUUAUUGUUAGGUGGGAUCGUGAUGGAGAGAUCAAUUGUGGCAAGAAAUGAGAUCUUCGAUAUAACGGAAGGCUUAGGGUGGGUUCAAGAGUUAUUAUUAGCUAGAUGGAUGUGGACUGGACGGGGACUGCAACGCUGACAGGAGACUCUGACUCCGAAUGUGCCUCCAUUUAGAGGUUUUGUGUUCUAGUGGAUAUUAAGUAGUUGGACUGUG
rnacentral:lncRNA from 1 species